rnacentral:rRNA from 1 species
UAAAGGCCGAAUAUCUAAGGUUUCCAGGGUAAAGCUGAUCUUCCCUGGGUAAGUCGGGGCCUAAGGCGAGGGCGAGAGCCGUAGUCGAUGGAUAACAGGUUGAAAUUCCUGUACUGCUUAUGGACAGAACUGUGGGGACGCAGAAGGAGAGCGCGAGCCGGAAAUGGAAAAGCCGGUACAAGCGUAUAGCAGUCAUGCAGGCAAAACCGCAUGAAAAAUGUAAAGCGUUAUGUGGAUCGAACAUUAGUAGAGAAGCGUGUGAGCCAGCUGCCAAGAAAAGCCGCUAUUGUUUCAUAAGUACCCGUACCGUAAACCGACACAGGUGGAUGAGGAGAGAAUCCUAAGGCCGGCGGGAGAAGUGUUGUUAAGGAACUCGGCAAAAUGACUCCGUAACUUCGGGAGAAGGAGUGCCACAGAGAUGUGGCCGCAGAGAAAUGGCCCAAGCAACUGUUUAGCAAAAACACAGGUCUAUGCAAAACCGAAAGGUGGGGUAUAUGGGCUGACGCCUGCCCGGUGCUGGAAGGUUAAGAGGAGAGGUUAGAGCAAUCGAAGCUUUGAAUUUAAGCCCCAGUAAACGGCGGCCGUAACGAUAACGGUCCUAAGGUAGCGAAAUUCCUUGUCGGGUAAGUUCCGACCCGCACGAAAGGCGUAAUGAUUUGGGCACUGUCUCAACAACACACCCGGUGAAAUUGAAAUACCAGUGAAGAUGCUGGUUACCUGCGCCAGGACGGAAAGACCCCAUGGAGCUUUACUCCAGUUUGAUACUGGGACUCGGUACUGUCUGUACAGGAUAGGUGGGAGGCUAGGAAAUGGUGACGCCAGUUGCCAUGGAGCCAACCUUGGGAUACCACCCUUACAGUACUGGGUUUCUAACCUGCAGCCGUAACCCGGCUGGGGGACAAUGUCUGACGGGGAGUUUGACUGGGGCGGUCGCCUCCGAAAGAGUAUCGGAGGCGCUCAAAGGUUCCCUCAGAACGGUUGGAAACCGUUCGAAGAGUGCAAAGGCAGAAGGGAGCUUGACUGCGACACCGACGGGUGGAGCAGAUACGAAAGUAGGACUUAGUGAUCCGGUGGUAUAAAGUGGGAUUGCCAUCGCUCAACGGAUAAAAGCUACCCUGGGGAUAACAGGCUUAUCACUCCCAAGAGUUCACAUCGACGGAGUGGUUUGGCACCUCGAUGUCGGCUCAUCGCAUCCUGGAGCUGUAGCAGGUUCCAAGGGUUGGGCUGUUCGCCCAUUAAAGCGGUACGCGAGCUGGGUUCAGAACGUCGUGAGACAGUUCGGUCCCUAUCCGGCGUGGGCGUAGGAUAUUUGAGAGGAGCUGUCCUUAGUACGAGAGGACCGGGAUGGACAAACCUCUGGUGUAUCUGUUGUUUUACCAAAGGCAUGGCAGAGUAGCCAAGUUUGGCAGGGAUAAACGCUGAAGGCAUCUAAGCGUGAAGCCCCCCUCAAGAUAAGAUAUCCCAUCUUCGGAGUAAGACCCCUUGAAGACUACAAGGUUGAUAGGCUUCAGGUGUAAGUGUGGUAACGCACUCAGCUGAGAAGUACUAAUAGGUCGAGGACUUACCAA